rnacentral:rRNA from 2 species
UUUGGUGACGAUGGCGAAGAGGUCACACCCGUUCCCAUUCCGAACACGGAAGUUAAGCUCUUCAGCGCCGAUGGUAGUUGGGGGAUCUCCCCCUGUGAGAGUAGGACGUCGCCAAGC